rnacentral:rRNA from 1 species
GUCUGCGGCCGCGCCACCCUGGACGAGCCCGACGCCUGAUCUCGGAAGCUGGGCGGGGUCGGGCCUGGUUAGUACUCGGAUGGGAGACCACCGAGGAAGACCAGGUGCUGUAGGCG